rnacentral:lncRNA from 1 species
GGGUCAGGGUCUCAGGAUCUGCACGGCAGUCACCAUUGUCUUGACUUGGGAAAGAAUGUGACCCCCGCAGAUCCUUCAGUCAGGGGCUGCUGCUGAGCUUAUGAUGAUUUUUCUCCUUCUAAAGGUCAGUGACUCGUUGGGGCUGAUGAUGUCCCUGCCCUGGGCAGACAGGCAGGCCUUGCUCAUGAGUCUCUAUAUCACUCAGCUCCAGGAGACUCGGAAUCUCACCAGGACGCGUCCAUCACUCGCUCAUAGCUGGUACUUGGAAAUGAAAGAGACUCGCUGUGCAGUCCCAAUCAAUGUCCGUCGGCCGUCUCCGUCGAUAACUGCCGGGCGGUCCAAUCUUUCCCCUGAUAGAAGGGCGCCUGGGGGUCAGCCCGAAGAUGCUCUGGAAGGAAGAGGCGGCCAUUUGAUUCAGAGCCUCCUUGCUGGGCUGGAAUUAACCUGGCUCUUUCUCUAAUGAAACUGACUCCAAGGGUCCCUGUGUGCUAGAGAUUCGAUGGCCCUUAGGAGAAGCAAUGAUGAGAGGUAAUAUUAAAGCAGUGUACACAUGCAGCCUGGAAUUCCUAACCAUGCUGAUGAUGUUUUCAAGGUGCUUUGAGCCCCGUAGGAAGCAGCACCUGUCUGGCAUGUUGCUGAACGCACAGUAGAAACAGUGAAUGCAGGGGGAAUAGACCCUGGGCUGCCUUUGCUAUCUACUGAUGAAGAGAUCAGGCAUUAGGAAGCUUAGUGACUUAACCAUGAUGU